rnacentral:misc_RNA from 1 species
GAUGAAGAACGUAGCGUAAUGCGAUACGUAAUGUGAAUUGCAGAAUUCAGUGAAUCAUCGAAUCUUUGAACGCAUAUUGCGCUCUCUGGUAUUCCGGAGAGCAUGCUUGUUUGAGUAUCAGUAAACACCUCAACUCCCUUUUCUUUUUUGAAAUUGGAGCUGGACUUGAGUGAUCCCAACGCUUUCUUCCAAGAAAGUGGCGGGUUGCUUGAAAUGCAGGUGCAGCUGAACUUUUCUCUGAGCUAUAAGCAUAUCUAUUUAGUCUGCCUAAAAAACAGAUUAUUACCUUUGCUGCAGCUAACAUAAAGGAGACUAGUUCUUGUGCUGACUGAUGCAGGAUUCACAGAGACAGCUUCGGCUGACUUUGUAAACUCGAUCUCAAAUCAAGUAAGACUACCCGCUGAACUUAAGCAUAUCAAUAAGCGGAGGA